rnacentral:sRNA from 1 species
UCCUGUAGUUCUGUAACAUUAUAUCUUUGUAGAGACUCUUCUGGGAAGGAUCCAGCAAAGUCCACUCUUUCUGAAUUUCAGGUUCUGCAUGUAAGGAGCUUGGGUGGUAUGAUUUUCACCAUCACAAGAAAGAAAACAAAACAAACUGAAAAUCAACAACUCUUCUUGGACCCAUCGACUCCCCAGGAAUGGAAAUCAUUUGAAUACUAAGUAUCAUAUUUCCUAGAGCAGGAGCCCAGGAUGAGAAAUCUGCAGCCAGAGCCAACAUCUGGAAGAACUCACUUAAGAAAACAGAAAACCACAGUUACAUGAAGACAGUGACAGAUACUGACUAAAGAGAUGCUGCCGAAGCCAUCGGUUUAGAAAAGAUCCGAGGAGUUGUAUUAGGAGAGCUAAGUGGAAUGGCGGCAGCGGCCUAAACACAUAACACACUGGAAAACGAAGCUGACACAGGACUGGCGCUGCCCGUGAUUCUUCUAAAGGAGCUGAUACCUACUAUUAAUAGGGUAAAUAAAACCAGAUUCAGAGGAUUUCAAGAUGCCCUAUAUCUUAAAAAUGCUUUUGUGAGAUAGAAACAAACUACUCAUGAAAUAUAAAAGAGAAGAGAGAGUAAGGAAAUAGAGUUGGCCUGGUGGGUUGCUGGCAUCAUGGUAUCCUCUCCAGUUCCAGCCACCCAGAAAGCAGUGCCAGGAGGAUGCGCGUCAUGCUCACACCAAA